rnacentral:rRNA from 1 species
CCUACGGGUGGCAGCAGUCGAGAAUCAUUCACAAUGGGGGAAACCCUGAUGGUGCGACGCCGCGUGGGGGAAUGAAGGUCUUCGGAUUGUAAACCCCUGUCAUGUGGGAGCAAAUUAAAAAGAUAGUACCACAAGAGGAAGAGACGGCUAACUCUGUGCCAGCAGCCGCGGUACUACAGAGGUCUCAAGCGUUGUUCGGAAUCACUGGGCGUAAAGCGUGCGUAGGCUGUUUCGUAAGUCGUGUGUGAAAGGCGCGGGCUCAACCGGCGGACGGCACAUGAUAAUGGGAGACUAGAGUAAUGGAGGGGGAACCGGAAUUCUCGGUGUAGCAGUGAAAUGCGUAGAUAUCGAGAGGAACACUCGUGGCGAAGGCGGGUUCCUGGACAUUAACUGACGCUGAGGCACGAAGGCCAGGGGAGCGAAAGGGAUUAGAUACCCGAGUAGUC